rnacentral:rRNA from 1 species
CCCUUAGAUGUUCUGGGCAGCACGCGCGCUACAAUGGUCUUCGCAAACGGAUGCAUUCUCGAAGGAGAAUGCCAAUCUUGGAAUCUAUGCCUUGGUCGGGACAGUUGCUUGCAAUUUUUCGACUCGAACCAGGAAUUCCUUGUAAUCGUGAUUCAUCACAUCACGAUGAAUACGUCCCUGCCCUUUGUACACACCGCCCGUCGCUCCUACCGAUCGAAGAGUUAGGUGAAUUGUUUUGAUCGAUAAGAUUUGACUAUGGUCAACUCACGUUGUGAAAUUCUGUGAAUCUGACUGUUUAGAGGAAGGAAAAGUCGUAACA